UGAGGAAUAUUGGUCAAUGGGCGAGAGCCUGAACCAGCCAAGUCGCGUGAAGGAAGAAGGUUCUAUGGAUUGUAAACUUCUUUUGUAAGGGAAUAAAAAGAGUUACGUGUAACUUAUUGUAUGUACUUUACGAAUAAGGAUCGGCUAACUCCGUGCCAGCAGCCGCGGUAAUACGGAGGAUCCAAGCGUUAUCCGGAUUUAUUGGGUUUAAAGGGUGCGUAGGCGGGUUUUUAAGUCAGUGGUGAAAGUUUGCAGCUCGACUGUAAAAUUGCCAUUGAAACUGAAGACGUUGAGUGUAAAUGAGGUAGGCGGAAUGUGUUGUGUAGCGGUGAAAUGCUUAGAUAUAACACAGAACACCAAUUGCGGAGGCAGCUUACUGGGAUACAACUGACGCUGAGGCACGAAAGCGGUGGGAUCAAACA
rnacentral:rRNA from 1 species